CAUGCAUGAGGUGCAUGAAGUCCAAGGCCAUGAGCAGAGCAGUUUAUCCGGGUUACAGAAAGUUGAAAUCAGACACCAACCGACCAUUUCUGUUCCACAUGACUUGGGAUUCACAUGACUAUUGUCUUGUGGGUAAUACAUUCAUUAUGUCAGAUUAUAUAUACGGUUCUCUGAUCAAAGAAGGCCAGAACAAGGGAUAGUUUUGGCUUAUUUUGAGGGGGAAAGGCUAGGGAUACCUCUCCUCAGUAUUAAUGAAAAAGUGGAGCAAAUACAUAUAAAAUAGAGAACCCAAAAGGUCCAAGGUGUGCAGAGUGUUAAUAAGCAAGCCACUAUGGUCUUGAGUCACAUACAAUUCUUCUUAAGCUUCAGAGCCAUGUUCAAAUUCUUUUACUGUAUAGUAAACUUAGUCUGCGAAACAGCCAUCUUUCUUCACUCUUGAAAUACCACUCAGGAGUGAAGAAGGACAGGUGUCUGUCCAGGCAAAGUGAAACUGGCCUGUAACUAAUUAUAACUGAUUAAAAGCCCAUCCACUAACCAUCCCAUAAUAUGCCUAGAUUGACUACCAUGGAAGAUUUGCUUGUGUCUAGGAGACUUCCAGAUUGUCUGGAAAAUGAAAGCUGGAAUAUUCUUUAUGGGAUAAUAACAGAGCUGGAGCCAUGCCAAGAUCACCUUUUAAAGGAACAUAUUACAUCAUUUCUUUUUUUGCUGAAAUUUUAAGACUAGCACCAUGGCUACCUUUAACAUGGAAUGCCAACUUCCAGGUGUGAGGUUAGUAUUAAUAAAACCUACAGUCACCAAACCAACACUCU